rnacentral:rRNA from 1 species
UUGAGAGCGGUGUACGGGUGCGGAACAUGNUGCACUGCCUUUGAUCUGGGGGAUAGUCUUUCGAAAGGAAGAUUAAUACCCCAUAAUAUGUUGAAUGGCAUCAUUCGACAUUGUAAAACUCCGGUGGAUAGAGAUGGGCACGCGCNAGAUUAGAUUAUUGGUGAGGUAACGGUCACCAAGUCUACGAUCUUUAGGGGGCCUGAGAGGGUGAUCCCGCCACUAGUGGUACUUGAGACNCUGUANCCAGAUUCUAUACGGGAGGCAGCAUGUGAGGAAUAUUGGACAAUGGGUGAGAGCCUGAUCCAGCCUAUCCCGCGUGAAGGACGACUGCCCUAUGGGUUGUAAACUUCUUUGUAUAGGGAUAAACCUACCCUCGUGAGGGUAGCUGAAGGUACUAUACGAAUAAGGCACCGGUUAACUCCGUGCCAGCAGCCGCGGUUAAUACGGAGGGUGCAAGCGUUAUCCGGAUUUAUGGGGUUUAAAAGGGUCCCGUAGGCGGAUCUGGUAAAGUCAGUGGUGAAAUCUCNACAAGGUUUAAGCUGUGGAAACUUGGCCAUUUGGAUUANCUGAAGGUUCUUGAGUUGGUUGUUGAAGUAUUGG